CUCUUUUCCUCACUCGCUCCCAACAUACUGGCUGAGCUAGAAGAGGACCCCAUCCUAAAGGAGGCAUAACAAUACCCAUAGAUUUUUAUAUGCCACUGAGGGUCUCUGAUGGCUGAGACUACGUUGGGGUAGCAGUCAUCUUGGGAGCAUCCAAACAGCUGACAAGCUUAUGCGGAUGUUAGGCAGCACUGUUUCCUUAUAAUAAGGUAACUCCAUUGACUUCAGCAGAAUUACUCCCAAAUGAUAUCAGAAGUAAGAAGAGAAGCAGGCCUGGAGUCUACAGAGUGAAAUAAGGGGGACGCUUCCUGUCUUUGUUCAGCCAUUCAUCCUGCAAGAGCGAUUAUUAUCAUCAAACAGCAUUAAAAUAGAACCCUUGGAGCCAGCACCCAAUCAGCACAGGGAAGGGAGGG